rnacentral:rRNA from 1 species
CCUACGGGAGGCAGCAGUGGGGAAUAUUGGGCAAUGGAGGAAACUCUGACCCAGCGACGCCGCGUGCGGGAUGAAGGCCUUCGGGUUGUAAACCGCUUUCAGUAGGGAAGAAGCGAAAGUGACGGUACCUACAAAAGAAGCACCGGCUAACUAUGUGCCAGCAGCCGCGGUAAUACAUAGGGUGCAAGCGUUGUCCGGAAUUAUUGGGCGUAAAGAGCUCGUAGGUCGUUUGUUACGUCGGAUGUGAAAACCUGAGGCUCAACCUCAGGCCUGCAUUCGAUACGGGCAAACUAGAGUUUGGUAGGGGAGACUGGAAUUCCUGGUGUAGCGGUGGAAUGCGCAGAUAUCAGGAGGAACACCAAUGGCGAAGGCAGGUCUCUGGGCCAAUACUGACACUGAGGAGCGAAAGUCUGGGGAGCGAACAGGAUUAGAUACCCUGGUAGUCCAGACCGUAAACGGUGGGCACUAGUUGUGGGAACCUUCCACGGUUUCUGCGACGCAGCUAACGCAUUAAGUGCCCCGCCUGGGGAGUACGAUCGCAAGAUUAAAACUCAAAAUGAAUUGACGG